GUAUGCAAACACUGGAUCUCAUAUGAUCACUGAAGUUAAGCAAUGUUGAGGCUGGUCAGUACCUAGAUGUGUGACCAUUUGGGAAUACUGGCGCUGUAAG